UACGAGGGGUGCAAGCGUUGCUCGGAAUUAUUGGGCGUAAAGGGUAGGUAGGUGGUCUCAUUUGUCUGGGGUGAAAGCCUUGAGCUUAACUCAAGAAGUGCCCCGGAAACGGUGAGACUAGAGUCUUGGAGAGGGUCGUGGAAUUCCCGGUGUAGCGGUGAAAUGCGUAGAGAUCGGGAGGAACACCAGAGGCGAAGGCGGCGACCUGGACAAGUACUGACACUCAACUACGAAAGCGUGGGGAGCAAACAGGG
rnacentral:rRNA from 1 species